CCCUUGGAUCUCUGGGCCCAGGGCCUGGUCUGCCCUGGUGGGGCCGGCCGCUGGUGUAGCCUGCGGGCUCGCCGCCACGGCCCCCUGGGGCUCCUGCACUGUGGCUGCCGGAUGGCCUCCCUCCGGAGCUCUCCUCUGCCCUUUUCUGGGUGAGGGGCUGCUAUUCUCCCUGCGGUGGUCCUCCGGGGGCUCCCAUGCCCUGGGGGGCCUCUGGAUGUCUGGGGUCCGGGCCUCCUCCGUGUCGGCUUUAUGUCCUUGGGGAUGGGGCUGUGGCUCCCCACACACACUACUAGACAUUUACAUGGAGUAACCUUUUGAACACCAGCGCGCUCACAUACACAGGUGUGCACACAGGGGUACAAACAGGUACUCACAGACACAUACAGGUGUACACACAGGUUCUCACAAACACACACAGGUGUACACACAGGUACUCACAGACACACACAGGUGUACAAACAGGUUCUCACAGACACACACAGGUGUACACACAGGUACUCACAGACACACACAGGUGUACACACAGGUACUCACAGACACACACAGGUGUACAAACAGGUUCUCACAGACACACACAGGUGUACACACAGGUUCUCACAGACACACACAGGUGUACAAACAGGUUCUCACAGACACACACAGGUGUACACACAGGUACUCACAGACACACACAGGUGUACACACAGGUACUCACAGACACACACAGGUGUACAAACAGGUUCUCACAGACACAUACAGGUGUACACACAGGUACUCACAGACACAUACAGGUGUACACACAGGUACUCACAGACACAUACAGGUGUACAAACAGGUUC